rnacentral:lncRNA from 1 species
GGGGUGUCUGACUUAUGUCAGAUGUUUAAAAAUAAAACUAGGAUCUAGGUCUGACAAGUGUGUCUUCAUAGUGUAUCUUAAAAAAAUCAAGCGGUAUUACUUCUACCUUACUGAUGAACAAAAAGUGUUCAUGAUAAAUAAAUUAUAUUUUUAAAAAAAAUUCUUUAGUGAAGGAAUUAGCACUUCUAAAAUCGAGCUUGAUGAAGUUUGACGGAUAGAAGAACUGACGCAAUCUAGUGAACCCACAGGACCCGAUUUGAUUGAGUCAAAUUUAGAACCUAUUAAUAAUAUACC